AAUCUCAACAAAAUAGGACAUGGGCUUCCCCCUCUCCGAGACGCGGCAGCAUGGGAUAGCGGCCAGGAGGUCGGAGUUGAAAGAGGUCCGACGGUGCUCUGCGUCGGGGAAAGUUGUACAGACUCGCAGCAGCAGAUGCAGCAGCGCAUUUGGAAGGGGAUCGGAGGGUCCGAGGCUCUGCUUUGCACAGCACCGCGAUUUGCCAUUGAGGAAACGCAAGGGGCGUUUGGGGGGCAGCAGGACUAUUUAUUGUCUGAGAGGGUGUUGUAAGUGGUGGAAGUUAUAGAGUGGGAGGAGGGGGAGGAGGAGCAAGCACGACGUGAAUUCUCCGGAAUAUGGGUACUCUCUCGGAUGCCUUUGGUCUUCACCUCUCCACCGCCUCGGGGGACCCUGGUGGCUGCGGUAUCCAACGAACGGUGGAACAUAUUUUCUCAAGAGACCGAUGUAACGAUGAUGUGGAAACGCAUCGCUGCAUUCUGAACUUUCUCGCUAUGCGCGAACUUUUCACCCAUGAGGAAGUGGAACAGGCUUUAGUGAUGCUCGGAUGGAAGCCUAUCACCAAACGAGGAGGUUGGCGCCGCUUCUUCAAAAUUGAAGAGCCAAACUUGCCUCACGGUUUGCCUACAAUAGCCAAACUGCCUGCGCGCUCUUUCGUGGAUGCUCCGAAACACAUGAUUCUUGACUUCGUCAGAACUGUCAAUAAGCGAGAAAAUCGAAAUGUGUUUUGCUGCUGGGAACACAGGGGAGCAUUGUUAGUUUGUGCGGGAGAUCGGUCGAUUCUCAAUUAGACUUCGUGUUAAUUUUGUAUAUAUUAGCUCCGAAGAUCACCAUUACAUUUUAAGUUAAUGUUGUAACAACGUGAAAGAACCAUGGCCACGUUACGUUCUUACUUGAACUUAAAGAUCUGUUCAAGAAGCUGUCUGAUGGCCCGAGGAGGGCUUCAGUUCGCCAGAUGAUUUGGAAAUGAUGAACAAAGGCACGCACACCUGAUUGAAAUGUUGAGUAGGUGUUUCUCUAAGGCCCAUUGCCACCGAACCCAUUCUGUCUUCACUUUGUAGUACAUCGGUUGGGUAUUGGAGAACUGUUACAGUUUUUCACUUAUAUGAAUGCCACAGUGCUACGGAACAUAGAUGAUUGUGGGUGGCGCCGAUGAUGCAUGCACAGGAGUGCAGAAGCCGAGCGAAGACCAAAUUUUGAAAUGCAACGUUCUAUCUUCUACUUCCACAGUUAGGGCAGUGAAACAGUUCAAUACUGGCUUGAAUUGCCACAGUUAGGAUAGGCUUAAAUUUCUGCAGUUCUGAUAUAUGCUGAAAUGUUCCAGUCGGUCGCUCUAUUUUGUG